rnacentral:rRNA from 1 species
UACAGAGGGUGCGAGCGUUAAUCGGAAUUACUGGGCGUAAAGCGCACGUAGGCGGCUUGGUAUGUCGGGUGUGAAAUCCCCGGGCUCAACCUGGGAACUGCAUCCGUAACUGCCUUGCUCGAGUAUGGGAGAGGGAAGUGGAAUUUCCGGUGUAGCGGUGAAAUGCGUAGAUAUCGGAAGGAACAUCAGUGGCGAAGGCGACUUCCUGGACCAAUACUGACGCUCAGGUGCGAAAGCGUGGGGAGCAAACAGG